AGAGUUUGAUCAUGGCUCAGAUUGAACGCUGGCGGCAUGCUUAAUACAUGCAAGUCGAACGGUAACAGGUUCUUCGGAAUGCUGACGAGUGGCGACGGGUGAGUAAUGCAUAGGAAUCUGCCCAUGUAGUGGGGGAUAACUUGGGGAAACUCAAGCUAAUACCGCAUAAUUCCUACGGGAGAAAGAGGGCCUAUACUUGUAAGCUCUUGCUAUUGGAUGAGCCUAUGUCGGAUUAGUUAGUUGGUGAGGUAAUGGCUUACCAAGACUACAAUCCGUAGCUGGUUUGAGAGGAUGAUCAGCCACACUGGGACUGAGACACGGCCCAGACUCCUACGGGAGGCAGCAGUAGGGAGUAUUGGACAAUGGGCGCAAGCCUGAUCCAGCAAUGCCGCGUGUGUGAAGAAGGCUUUCGGGUCGUAAAGCUCUGUCAGAAGGGAAGAAAUGGUUACGGUUAAUACCCGUGACUACUGACGGUACCGGAAGAAGAAGCACCGGCUAACUACGUGCCAGCAGCCGCGGUAAUACGUAGGGUGCGAGCGUUAAUCGGAAUUACUGGGCGUAAAGCGUGCGCAGGUGGUUUUGUAAGUCAGAUGUGAAAUCCCCGGGCUUAACCUGGGAACUGCGUUUGAAACUGCAAGGCUAGAGUGUGGCAGAGGGGGGUGGAAUUCCGCGUGUAGCAGUGAAAUGCGUAGAGAUGUGGAGGAACACCGAUGGCGAAGGCAGCCCCCUGGGUCAACACUGACGCUCAGGCACGAAAGCAUGGGGAGCAAACAGGAUUAGAUACCCUGGUAGUCCAUGCCCUAAACGAUGUCAACUAGUUGUCGGGUCUUAACGGGCUUGGUAACGUAGCUAACGCGUGAAGUUGACCGCCUGGGGAGUACGAUCGCAAGAUUAAAACUCAAAGGAAUUGACGGGGACCCGCACAAGCGGUGGAUUAUGUGGAUUAAUUCGAUGCAACGCGAAAAACCUUACCUACCCUUGACAUGUAUAGAACUUUCCAGAGAUGGAUUUUGGUGCCUUCGGGAACUUGGACACAGGUGCUGCAUGGCUGUCGUCAGCUCGUGUCGUGAGAUGUUGGGUUAAGUCCCGCAACGAGCGCAACCCUUGUCAUUAAUUGCCAUCAUUUAGUUGGGCACUUUAAUGAGACUGCCGGUGACAAACCGGAGGAAGGUGGGGAUGACGUCAAGUCCUCAUGGCCCUUAUGGGUAGGGCUUCACACGUAAUACAAUGGCGCGUACAGAGGGUUGCCAACCCGCGAGGGGGAGCUAAUCUCAGAAAGCGCGUCGUAGUCCGGAUCGGAGUCUGCAACUCGACUCCGUGAAGUCGGAAUCGCUAGUAAUCGCGGAUCAGCAUGUCGCGGUGAAUACGUUCCCGGGUCUUGUACACACCGCCCGUCACACCAUGGGAGUGGACUCUGCCAGAAGUAGGUAGCCUAACCGCAAGGGGGACGCUUGCCACGGUGUGAUUCAUGACUGGGGUGAAGUCGUAACAAGGUAACCA
rnacentral:rRNA from 1 species